AUGUCAGCAGAGAGAUGGAACCCCAAGAAAGAAUCAAAAAGAAAUGUGGGAGAUCAGAAGCACUUAGACCAGAAACAGCUGAAGAAAAAAUCUCUGACCGUGAUGACAGUUUUCAGUGGGAAUGGGAAGGGCCUGACCACCCCCUCUUGUCUGGAUACUGAUUACAUGGGUCCCGACCAGAAGAGGGCCGAGCCACUGCUGGUCUGUAGCCACCAGCUUCUGCGAGGACACGAGAUCCUCAGUGCACCAGAGGAGGAAAGAACGAUGAAGUCAAGAGUUUUACUAGUGAUGCUGUGGCUUCAGUUAACCUGGAUGAAGAGUCAACAGAAGGGAAUGGAGCAGAGUCUUGGAUCUCUGAGGGUUCUGCAGGGAGCCACUGCCUCUCUCAACUGCAAUUAUAGUGACAGUGCUUCCCAGUACUUUGUGUGGUACAGACAGUACUCCGGGAAGGGCCCCGAGCUGCUGGUGUACCUGUACUCCAAAGGUGACAAAAAGGAAGGAAGAUUUUCGGCACAGGUCGAUGCAGCAAAACAAAAUGUCUUCCUGCUCAUCAGCGACUCCCAGUCCAGGGACUCAGCCACCUACCUCUGUGCAGUGAGCACGCAGUGCUCCCCUGACACCUGCUGA